UACAGAGGUCCCAAGCGUUGUCCGGAUUUACUGGGCGUAAAGAGCGUGUAGGCGGCCAAACAGGUCCGUUGUGAAAACUGGAGGCUCAACUUCCAGACGUCGACGGAAACCGUGUGGCUAGAGUCCGGAAGAGGAGAGUGGAAUUCCUGGUGUAGCGGUGAAAUGCGCAGAUAUCAGGAAGAACACCAAUGGCGAAGGCAGCUCUCUGGGACGGUACUGACGCUGAGACGCGAAAGCGUGGGGAGCGAACAGG
rnacentral:rRNA from 1 species